CCUACGGGAGGCAGCAGUAGGGAAUCUUUCACAAUGGGCGAAAGCCUGAUGGAGCAACGCCGCGUGCAGGAUGAAGGCCUUCGGGUUGUAAACUGCUUUUAUAAGCGAGAAAUAUGAUGGUAACUUAUGAAUAAGGAUCGACUAACUACGUGCCAGCAGCCGCGGUCAUACGUAGGAUCCGAGCAUUAUCCGGAGUGACUGGGUGUAAAGAGUUGCGUAGGUGGCAUAAUAAGUAGCUAGUGAAAUCUGGUGGCUCAACCAUUCAGACUAUUAGCUAAACUGUUAAGCUCGAGACCGUUAGGGGUAACUGGAAUUUCUAGUGUAGGAGUGAAAUCCGUAGAUAUUAGAAGGAACACCAAUAGCGUAGGCAGGUUGCUGGGACGGUUCUGACACUAAGGCACGAAAGCGUAGGGAGCAAACGGGAUUAGAUACCCGUGUAGUC
rnacentral:rRNA from 1 species